rnacentral:rRNA from 1 species
UACAGAGGUCUCAAGUGUUGUUCGGAUUCAUUGGGCGUAAAGGGUGCGUAGGUGGCGCCGUAAGUCGGGUGUGAAAUUUCGGAGCUUAACUCCGAAACUGCAUUCGAUACUGCGGUGCUUGAGGACUGGAGAGGAGACUGGAAUUCAUGGUGUAGCAGUGAAAUGCGUAGAGAUCAUGAGGAAGACCAGUGGCGAAGGCGGGUCUCUGGACAGUUCCUGACGCUGAGGCACGAAGGUCAGGGGAGCAAACGGG